rnacentral:rRNA from 1 species
CGCAGGGUGGAUGCCUUGGCGCUAGCAGCCGAAGACGGGCGUGGCAAGACUGCGAUAAGCUCCGGGGAGCUGUCGAGCAAGCUUAGCCGGAGAUUCCCGAAUGGGGCAACCCGCCCGGGCUAACCCCGGGCACUCGCCGAAAGCGAGAGGGCACCAGGGGAACUGAAACAUCUAAGUACCCUGAGGAGGAGAAAUCGACAAGAGAUUCCCUGAGUAGUGGCGAACGAAAGGGGAACAGCCUAAACCGCAACAGCUCAGUGGUCUCGGAACCUAUGCUGGUGCGGGGUUACAAGGCCUGGCUGAAGGAUCCGAGUACCUUCGAAGGAGUUACAAACCUAACCCUAGCUGAAGAUGCCUGGAAUGGCUAACCAUAGAGGGUGACAGUCCCGUAGGCGAAAGGGGCAGGCUCCUGCCAGUGUCCUUAAGUACCAUGGGACACGUGGAAUCCCGUGGGAAGUCGGGGGGACCACCUUCCAAGGCUAAAUACUGCUAGCGACCGAUAGUGGACCAGUACUGUGAGGGAAAGGUGAAAAGCACCCCGCGAGGGGAGUGAAAUAGAACCUGAAACCCUGUGCCUACAAGCAGUCAGAGCCUGACGCAAGUCAGGUGAUGGCGUGCCUAUUGAAGAAUGAGCCGGCGAGUUAAUCUCCGUGGCUAGGUUAAGCGACUUCAGUCGCGGAGCCGCAGCGAAAGCGAGUCCGAAAAGGGCGUAUCCCUUCUGGGGAAAGUCGCAGGGAUUAGACACGAAACCGGGUGAGCUACCCAUGGCCAGGAUGAAACCCAACUAACCUUGGGUGGAGGUCCGAACCCGUGUACGUGGCAAAGUGCUGGGAUGAGCUGUGGGUAGAGGUGAAAUGCCAACCGAACUCGGAGAUAGCUUGUUCUCCCCGAAAUGCAUAUAGGUGCAGCCUCGGGUGAUAACUUGUGGAGGUAGAGCACUGGAUGGGCCAGGGGCCGUGAGGUUACCAACCCCAACCAAACUCCGAAUGCCACAAGUCCCAGCCCGGGAGUGAGACUGCGAGGGAUAAGCUUCGUAGUCGAGAGGGAAACAGCCCAGACCAUCAGCUAAGGUCCCUAAGCGCAGGCUAAGUGGUAAAGGGAGUGAUGUCGCUAAAACAGCCAGGAGGUUGGCUUAGAAGCAGCCAUCCUUCAAAGAGUGCGUAAUAGCUCACUGGUCGAGUGGCAUCGCACCGAUAAUGUAACGGGGCUCAAGUCUGCCACCGAAGCUAUGGUUCGCCAUCUGGCGAAGGUAGGGGAGCGUUCCCUUUGCAGUGAAGCCACUACGUAAGUAGUGGUGGAGCGAAGGGAAGUGAGAAUGCCGGCAUGAGUAGCGUAAAGGCAUGUGAAAACCAUGCCCGCCGUAAGCCUAAGGUUUCCUACGCAAGGUCAAUCCGCGUAGGGUCAGUCGGGCCUAAGCCGAACCCAAAGGGGGAAGGCGAUGGACAAUGGGUCAACAUUCCCAUACCAUCUGGCUCUUGUUCUAAGGCAAAGGGGGGACACAGGAGGAUAAGUCGAGCGUACCCACUGGACAUGGUGCGUCCCCAAUCCGAGGCGCGUUGGGGCAGGCAAACCCACUCCAACGUCAAGCUGAGGAACGGGGAAAGCUGCGGGGAGACCCAAAGCGAUUCGGCUGAGUUCACACUGUCUAGAAAAGCCUCGUUGCUAAAGAGCUAGAUGCCCGUACCGCAAACCGACACCGGUAGGCGGGGGUAAGAACCCCAAGGCGUUCGAGAGACCCCUCGUUAAGGAACUCGGCAAUCUAACCCCGUAACUUCGGAAGAAGGGGGCCCGCUUUUACAAGCGGGGGCACGAAACCGGCCCAGGCGACUGUAUAACAGAAACACAGGUCUCUGCCAAAGCGAAAGCUGAGGUAUAGGGGCUGAUACCUGCCCAGUGCCGGAAGGUUAAGGGGAGAGGUUAGGAUGUAUGUCCGAAGCCUUGAACCGAAGCCCCGGUGAACGGCGGCCGUAACUAUAACGGUCCUAAGGUAGCGAAAUCCCUUGUCGGGUAAGUUCCGACCCGCACGAAAGGUAUAACGACUUGGGCGCUGUCUCAACGAGGGACUCGGCGAAAUUGAAAUGGGGGUGAAGAUGCCCUCUACCCGCAACUGGACAAAAAGACCCCGUGGAGCUUUACUGUAGCCUGACAUUGGACUAGGACCUUGGAUGCGUAGGAUAGGUGGGAGGCUAUGAAGCCGGACUUCCGGGUCUGGUGGAGCCAUCGGUGAAAUACCACUCUUCCUUGGUUUUGGUUCUAACCUGCACUCUCUAAAGUGCGGGGACAGUGUCUGGUGGGCAGUUUAACUGGGGCGGUUGCCUCCUAAAAGGUAACGGAGGCGUCCAAAGGUCCCCUCAGCACGGAUGGAAAUCGUGCGUCGAGUGCAUUGGCAUAAGGGGGCUUGACUGUGAGACUCACAAGUCGAGCAGGGACGAAAGUCGGGCAAAGUGAUCCUACGGUACCGCGUGGAAGGGCCGUAGCUUAACGGAUAAAAGCUACCCCGGGGAUAACAGGCUUAUCUUGCCCAAGAGUUCACAUCGACGGCAAGGUUUGGCACCUCGAUGUCGGCUCGUCGCAUCCUGGGGCUGGAGCAGGUCCCAAGGGUCCGGCUGUUCGCCGGUUAAAGCGGCACGCGAGCUGGGUUCAGACCGUCGUGAGACAGGUCGGUCUCUAUCCGUUGCGGGCGCAGGAGAUUUGAGGGGAGCUCUCCCUAGUACGAGAGGAUUGGGAGGGACAGACCUCUGGUGUGCCAGUUGUCGUGCCAACGGCAGUGCUGGGUAGCUAUGUCUGGACGGGAUAAGCGCUGAAAGCCUCUAAGCGCGAAGCCCACCCCAAGAUGAGAUCUCCCACCGGGCUGACCGGGUAAGACCGCAGGUAGACUACCUGCUUGAUAGGCGGCAUGUGUAAGCGCAGUAAUGCGUUCAGCUAAGCCGUACUAAUGGUCGAGGUCUUUGACCUACA